GGUCAUUGUGCAUUUUUUUUCUCCCCAGUUUGUAUAUUUCACAAGGCCUCUUCAUUGAACAACACCCACAAACCCUUCAUUUUCUCUCCAUCUUACUUUCAUCUUCUUCUUCCUUCGAACAACACCCACAAACCCACAACUAACCUAGCAUUGUCUUCUUCAUUCACAACAUCGUCUUCUUCUUCUUAGUAUUUUAUUCUCUCUCAUUCACAGCUUUCACUUGUCGGGCAUUGAAGAUUUUUGGUUGUCAAGCAUUUUUCGAGCAUCUGUUUCUUGUCUUCUCUCAAAUUUGAAUAUGUGAUUCCACUGCUUUCCUCUUAUUCGGAUUCACAUUUUCCCACAACUUUCUAAAUCGAUUUUUUGGUGAAUUGAAUAAGUGAAGAUAUGGGCUCGUCGUCUACAUAGGUCGUUCGGGUAAUGCAGGUGAAUUGAAUAAGUGAAGAUUGGGCUCGUGGUCUACAUAGGUCGUUUGGGUAAUGCAGGACCUUUAAAUCCAUCAAGUUUCAUAUCCAAGGAGCCCUACGAUAUAUGUUUUUAUAUUUUUAUUUUUUGUCAUCUUUUGUUCUUGUAUUGUUGUCCCUGUCUUUUGUGAUUCAACUGUUAAGUUUUUUUUUCUCUAUUCCUUUUUUGUUUCUUGUCAACCGUAUAUAGGCCAUCAUUGUAUUUGUUCAUAUGGAAGUUCCAACUUUCUUUCUUUUGUUUCCAGACAAAGUAAAAUUUUUA